rnacentral:lncRNA from 1 species
CUACUUUCCUAAAUACUAAAUACUUCCUAAAGUAUUAGGAAGGUUUUGCAGUUUUCCAAGUCUAUUUUUAUCUGAAGAGACUCAUGAGGCUCCAAAGUGACAUAUGUGUCCCAUUUACUCCACCAGAACCAGGGUGGCCUGGCACAGAUGCACUGAUGAGGGAUGAACUAAAAGCAGCUACAAGUGGCUGCAUCAUGAAGGAUCAAGGGCAGGCUGCAGCAACGGGCCAACACAAGGACGUCAUCUCACCAAGGGCUGCGUUUGAGAUGAAAAAAACCAAGAUUCCAAGAAGUUGAGUCACUUGCCUAAUGCCACAGAGCUGGAAGUGAAAGAAUUAGUCUUAUCCUGGCAUCAGUUCAGUUCAGUUGCUCAGUCGUGUCCGACUCUGCGACCCCAUGAAUUGCAGCACGCCAGGCCUCCCUGUCCAUCACCAACUCCCGGAGUUCACUCAGACUCACGUCCAUCGAGUCAGUGAUGCCAACCAGCCAUCUCAUACUUACCUUCAAAGCCUAUUGUAUUUUCCCUGUGUAAUUCUGUUUUUCUAUGCGAGUAAAUGUAAACAGAACUGUAUUUCAGGACCAAGCAUGAGAUAGGUAAGAAAUAGGUUGGGGGAGGAAGCAAGUAAGAAAGGAUUUGGAGAUUUUAUUUGGCAGAAAGGUGUAUGUGGAUGUUUUUAACUUACUUGGAAAUGCAUUAAACAAAUAAAAAGCACCGAUGGACUGGUAGGGUAAUAGAUGGGAUUCCCUGGUGGCUCAGGUGGUAAAGAAUCUGCCUGCAAUGCAGGAGAUCCCGGUUCAGUUCCUGGGUUGGGAAGAUCCCCUGGAGAAGGGAACAGCUACCCACUCCAGUAUUCUGGCCUAGAGAACUCCAUGGACUGUAUAGAUGGAUUUGUGCUAAAGCAAGUGUAGUAAAAUGUUCGGUGUGGAAUCUAGUCGUGGAUAUAUGGAUGUUAAUUGUAAAAUUCUUUCAACAUUUUUGUAUGUUUGAAAAUUUUCCUAAUAAAACGAGGGGGGAAGUCAAUGUAAAUUAAUAGCAUGGUGUGGGCACAUUUAGGUAGGGAGGAUAGAGUCUCUUCUUGGAUAGCACAGCCAGACCUUAAAUUCUGUAUUCAGGUUGAGUGCCAGGCUUUCUGUGUUUGUGACAAGCUGUAAUAUGCUCCUGGGAGAAAGGAGAGGUGGGGUAUGGGGUUCAGAAACCGUGUCUAACCUGGAAAAGAGAAGAAAAGACUACAACACGGUAAUUCUCAGAAUAUGCUCUAAAAACUAUGUAUUAGUUAUCUUUUGAUGUGUAACAAACUAUAUCAAAACUCAGUGGCUUAAAACAACAUGUAUUAUUUUAUGGUUUCUCUAGGUUGGAAAUUCAGAAGUGGCUCUAUCUUGGGAUCUCUUAUGAGGUUACAAGCAGAAUGUCAGUAGGGGCUGCAGUCAUCUGAAGGCUUGACUGGGGUUAGAAGAUUCACUUCCAAGACAGCUCAUUCACAGAGCAGGAGGCUUCUGUUCCUGUUUUGUGCGUCUCUCCAUAGGGCCGCAUGAGUGCCUUCAUGCAGUGGCAACUAACAUCACCCAGAUUGAGCUAUUGAGAGAGCAAGGACAAGUCCCUUCAGGACCUCAUCUCUGAAACCACACUCCUUAAGUUCUGUGUUAGCCUAGUCAUUAGGAGUGAGUCUUCUCGCCAUGGACAGGGGAGACUGGUGGGCUACAGUCCAUGGGGUCACAAAGAGUCAGACACGACUGUCAGACUGUCACUUCUAACACUUAGAAGUGAGUCACAGGGUCCAGCUCACCCUUAAAGGGAGGGAAAUUAAACCCUCCCUUGUGAGGAAAGAAAUAUCAAAAAAUGUGCAGACAUAUUUAAAAAUCACCAUAGUCUGCUUCUUGGAAGAGACUUAAGCUUAUUCUAUGAGAAUCCUAGGGAAGUAGUUCUUAUUUCAAUAGAAAGAAAAUUUUCCUAAUAGAGUUGUCUAAAAGAAUGGGAAGGAGUUUUUCUUCACUUGAGAGAUCCAAAAAGAAUCUGAGCAGUUAACUGGAGCUGUGACAUUCAUUCUUUUAUUCAUCAAUAUCCCUAGAACAUUUACUUAGAGUCCCAUUAUGUGGAAGAACUGUCGAUACAAUAGUGAGCAGAACAGGUGGGCUGCCUGCACUCAUGAAGUUUACACCGUCCUAAGAGAAUGAACAAUUGGAGAAGGAAAUGGCAACCCACUCCAGUGUUCUUGCCUGGAGAAUCCCAGGGAUGGAGGAGCCUGGUGGGCUGCCGUCUAUGGGGUCACACAGAGUCAGACAUGACUGAAGCGACUUAGCAAAGAGAAUGAACAAGCACAUCAGAUAAUCACAGUUUGUGAUGAGUGUUAUGAAGGCAAAAAAUAACUAGGCUACUGUAAUAUCAACUAAGGUUGUAGGGAGAUAAUUGACUUACAGAGUUCAUAAAAGAAAGAAAUGCUUGAACAAGAUCAUCCUAUAGAUUCCUUCCAAUUAUGAUGGUGGCCACUCAUCCAUUCCUUCAUCUAUUUUUCUUUAUUCAUUCAACAGACACUGAGUGUAUACUCUGUGUGGGGCACCGGGCAAGGUAAAAGCGGUACAAAGUAAACAGUGGUGCCUUUUAAGGACCUUGGGGUCUUGUGAGAGAUAAGAUGCGUAUACAGAUAGUAGUCCCGCGGGAUAAGCGCUGCAGGCGUUAUGCACACAGAGCCUGCUGCACACAGGAGCGAUAACCCUGCCUGGGGUGUUGGUGAAGGCUUCUCAGAGAUGCCAUCUGAGCUGUGUUUUUCAGGACAAGGAAGAGGACUGACAAUUAGCAUAAGAACCUUUCUAAAAGGUCAGCAUCCCACAUACCAGGACUUAUUAAGAAGAAUGAAGGAAUAGAGACAAAACUGAAAUGUAAGUUUAAUGAGUUAAUGGAGCUUGAUGAAUGAGUGCACUCUGUAUUCUGGCUCUCAUAUCACUGCAUUAAAUGCACUGCGUUGACAAAGAAAAUCCAUUUCACAUUUGAAUCUUCUCAAGAGAAACUCCAACACCGCAGGCUCAGCGCAGCUCUGCUCCUCUCACAGCAACUUCCCUCAUGGCUCCCUGCUACAGACCUUCUGCCCCAGGCCAGAUAGCCCCCUCACCACUGUGCCACUGCUCUGUGCUUCUAUAGUCAGUGCUACUCAGGGUGCCUUUGUCCCUCAUCCCUCUAAAUCUGACCCCCUCCAUCAAGUCUCACUGUUUGCCCACGGAUUUCUCCCCCUGUGCGAGGAACACAGAGAUCAUUUGUCUUUCUUCCAUAUAUAUCGUUAGUAUACUGUAUUGGUGUUUUUCUUUCUGGCUUACUUCACUCUGUAUAAUAGGCUCCAGUUUCAUCCACUUCAUUAGAACUGAUUCAAAUGUAUUCUUUUUAAUGGCUGAGUAAUACUCCAUUGUGUAUAUGUACCACAGCUUUCUUAUCCAUUCAUCUGCUGAUGGGCAUCUAGGUUGCUUCCAUGUCCUGGCUAUUAUAAACAGUGCUACGAUGAACAUUGGGGUACACGU